CUGAUACUGAAUACACCAUUCUAAUAAUGACUAUCCCGCCAUUCUAAUAAUGAACAUACCAUUCUAAUCAAUAAUACACAAUUCUGAUAAUGAAUACACCAUUCUAAUAAUGACUAUCCCAUUGCAGUAAUUAAUACCCAGGUAUGAAUUAUAAUUAAGAUGUAAUUGCUACCUAUCAGCAGUGUGAUCCGUGCCGAUAAGGAAGGAGGAGAAGCAGCAGGGAAAUGUUCUCCCCGGGAGCAGCUGGGAUAAAGGUUGGGUUGGUUUCCAGUGAUUCUCUGGUUAAUGUUCAGUUAAUAUUAAUAAUAUUAUUAACGUGAAUAAAAUCAACAAAUCAAAUCAAUCAUUUCCAAUUAAUUGUAUAAGAUUGGGACAGUUAAUAACAUUAAAAAUGCUCAUAAAAAUGAGAUUGUUUAGGAAUUGUUCCACUCUUGCCCUGGUUGGAGUUUCACCCCUGGGUCAGCGAGAAAGAAAAUAAAGCAAAGUUUUCUUGUUGCAAUCAAAUUUCUCUGUGUGUUCUCGUCCUCUAAAAACCAAAAAUCCUUCCAGGAUUUCAGGCUUUGCACCUUUGCAGGGGGAUUUUGGGGCUGGGUUGGAAUUCUUUGGGCAAUUUUCUGGAGAAUUCCAGGGCAAGGUUUCAAAUGCUGAAACGUUUCCUGAGAGGAUCAGGAAUAAUAAUAAUCAUCAUAAUUAAUAAUUAAUUAAUAAUAAUAGUCCCUGAUCCCUCAGGGACAGCAGGAGGGAAUCUGAGGGAUCCAGGGGAAUGUUCUGCAGAAUCUCAGAGACCUCCCAGGGGAAAAAAAACCAUUUCAAAAUGGAUUUAUACUUUUAAUUUUAGCUUUUAUUUUAUUGUUAUAUUGACAUUUCUAGUUCUAGUUAAUUAUGGAAUUAAAUUCAGCCAUGGGGGGGGGUCUGAGGAGGGAAUUGAGAUGAAUGAGGGCACAGGGGGCACUCGGGGGCACUCUGGGGUCACGCUGGGGUCACUCAAGGUCACGUGAGGUCAUUUCAAGGUCACUUGAGGUCAUUUCAAGGUCAUUUCAAAGUCAUUUGGGGUCACUUCAAGGUCACGGGGGUUACUCGGGGUCAUUUUUGGAUUUUUGAGUUUUUCAAGUCCCUGGCCGGGGUAACUGUAGGUCACUUCAAGGUCACUUGGGGUCACUUCAAGGUCACUCGGGGUCAUUUCAAGGUCAUUUGGGUCACAGGGGUCACUUGAGGUCAUUUUUGAUUUUUCUGAGUCCCUGACCAGGUCACUAGAGGUCAUUUCAAGGUCAUUUGAGGUCGCCAGGGAUUGGGGUUCUGGGGUGAGGGGUCAGGGAUUGGGGUCCUGGGCUCUCCCAAGCAGAGGGUGAGGGUCCCUCUGGAGAGAGGGACUGGGGUCCCAAGAUUUCCCCUAAAGCACCGAGCAGGGUGUGCGGGGUCAGGGAUUGGGGUCCCGUGUUUCUCCUAAAGCACCCAGAAGAGGGUCAGAGUCCCUCUGGAGAGAGGGGUCAGAGAUUGGGGUCCUGGAUUUCCCCUGAAUCACCAAACAGGGUGAGGGGUCAGAGAUUGGGGUCCUGGAUUUCCCCUGAAUCACCAAACAGGGUGAGGGGUCAGAGAUUGGGGUCCUGGAUUUCCCCUGAAUCACCAAACAGAGGGUGAGGGGUCAGAGAUUGGGGUCCUGGGUUUCCCCCGAGCAGAGGAUAAAAGAUCAGGGACUGGGGUCCUGGAUUUCCCCUAAAACAUCGAUCAGAGAGUGAGGGAUCAGGGAUUUGGGUCCCGGAUUUCCCCUGAACCACCAAACAGGGUGAGGGAUCAGGGACUGGGGUCCUGGGGUGAGGGGUCAGGGAUUGGGUUCUGCCCCCCCCC
rnacentral:lncRNA from 1 species